rnacentral:misc_RNA from 1 species
AAAGUCGUAACAAGGUUUCCGUAGGUGAACCUGCGGAAGGAUCAUUAAAGAGAAAAAAUAAAUUACACAGAGCAAGAUAAUACGAGUUAUAUAGAGUAAACCAUAUAAAGUGACAACUUUUAGCAACGGAUCUCUAGGCUCUC